rnacentral:rRNA from 1 species
AUUGAACGCUGGCGGUAGGCCUAACACAUGCAAGUCGAACGCGAAAGUCCUUCGGGAUGAGUAGAGUGGCGGACGGGUGAGUAACGCGUAGGAAUCUAUCCUGUAGUGGGGGAUAACGUUUCGAAAGGAACGCUAAUACCGCAUACGCCCCAAGGGGGAAAGCGGGGGAUCUUCGGACCUCGUGCUAUAGGAGGAGCCUGCGUCGGAUUAGCUAGUUGGUGAGGUAAAGGCUCACCAAGGCGACGAUCCGUAGCUGGUCUGAGAGGAUGAUCAGCCACACCGGAACUGAGACACGGUCCGGACUCCUACGGGAGGCAGCAGUGGGGAAUAUUGCGCAAUGGGCGAAAGCCUGACGCAGCCAUACCGCGUGUGUGAAGAAGGCCUUCGGGUUGUAAAGCACUUUCAGUGGGGAGGAAAAGCUGGUGGCUAAUAUCCAUCGGCCGUGACGCUACCCACAGAAGAAGCACCGGCUAAUUCCGUGCCAGCCGCCGCGGUAA